AACUCAUUGAUCAAAACUAUGUAUAACCAUUUUAUAUAUAAGAAAAAACUUAUAACUUAAUAAAAAUAUUAUAAACCUAGCUAACUAUAAUACAAAUAUAAAAAAAUACAAAAAUAUUAAAAAUGCAUUAUACAUUCGAUUUAAUUUAAUAGGGGUAUAGAGUAAACUCUAUCCCAUCCUCACUUAUUCACCUCGAUUUUAAAUCUAUCUUUCAUUCUUCUCGCUUUCUUUCAUCCUCAACCCCGCUCAUUUAUAUUUUUCGCUCUUCUCUUCUUCCUCCCCCUACUUCCAUAAAAAUACACACA
rnacentral:lncRNA from 1 species